rnacentral:rRNA from 1 species
AGCGAACGCUGGCGGCAGGCCUAACACAUGCAAGUCGAACGAAUCUUUCGGGGUUAGUGGCGGACGGGUGAGCAACACGUGGGAACGUGCCUUUAGGUUUGGAAUAACUUAGGGAAAAUUGUGCUAAAACCGAAUGUGCCCCUCCGGGGAAUGGUUAAUCGCCUUUAGAGGGGCCUGCGUCUGAUUAGCUAGUUGGUUGAGGUAAUGGUUCACCAAGGCGACGAUCAGUAGCUGGUCUGAGAGGAUGAUCAGCCACAUUGGGACUGAGACACGGCCCAAACUCCUACGGGAGGCAGCAGUGGGGAAUCUUGCGCAAUGGGCGAAAGCCUGACGCAGCCAUGCCGCGUGAAUGAUGAAGGUCUUAGGAUUGUAAAAUUCUUUAACCGGGGACGAUAAUGACGGUACCCGGAGAAGAAGCCCCGGCUAACUUCGUG